AUGCCCCCUUCAGCACCACAUAUACUAAGUAUGGAAUGAAAAGAGAAGAUUAGCAUGGCCCCUGUGCAAAGAUGACAUGCAAAUUUGUUGGGGGGGGGAUUAAAAUUAAU